rnacentral:rRNA from 1 species
CCUACGGGAGGCAGCAGUGAGGAAUAUUGGUCAAUGGCGCGAGCCUGAACCAGCCAAGUAGCGUGAAGGAUGACUGCCCUACGGGUUGUUAACUUCUUUUUUUAAGGAAUAAAGUGAGGCCCGUGUGCCUUUUUGUAUGUAUUUUUUGAAUAAGGAUCGGCGUACUCCGUGCCAGCAGCCGCGGUAAUACGGAGGAUCCGAGCGUUAUCCGGGUUUAUUGGGUUUAAAGGGAGCGUAGAUGGGUUGUUAAGUCAGUUGUGAAAGUUUGCGGCUCAACCGUAAAAUUGCAAUUGAUACUGGCAGCCUUGAGUACAGUUGAGGUAGGCGGAAUUCGUGGUGUAGCGGUGAAAUGCUUAGAUAUCACGAAGAACUCCGAUUGCGAAGGCAGCCUACUAAACUGCCACUGACAUUGAUGCUCGAAAGUGUGGGUAUCAAACAGGAUUAGAUACCCGUGUAGUC